rnacentral:snoRNA from 1 species
UCUGCCAUAGUGAGUUGACAGUAAGUCCAUGUAGGAAGCAGGAUUGUCCUACAUAUGAAAGACGGCACUGGAAGCAUGGGAACAGCU